rnacentral:lncRNA from 1 species
UUGUACUUGGGCAAAUGCUUAAUGUAGGCACUUUGUUAUGUAUGGUUCUCUUCUAAGUCAAUGAUCAAGGACUUGACUUCAACAACGUACCUUUUUUAAGAAUGGAUUAUUAUUGUAUGAUCAACCACUCGAAUACUUACACAUUGUAAUUGCCCACACCAAUUCUAUAUGCUUACACACGCGCUCUCUUCAACUGCCAAGAGUUUGAGAUACC